rnacentral:rRNA from 1 species
CCUACGGGAGGCAGCAGUGAGGAAUAUUGGUCAAUGGACGAGAGUCUGAACCAGCCAAGUAGCGUGAAGGAUGACUGCCCUAUGGGUUGUAAACUUCUUUUAUACAGGAAUAAAACGAGGCACGUGUGCCUUUUUGCAUGUACUUUAUGAAUAAGGAUCGGCUAACUCCGUGCCAGCAGCCGCGGUAAUACGGAGGAUCCGAGCGUUAUCCGGAUUUAUUGGGUUUAAAGGGAGCGUAGAUGGGUUGUUAAGUCAGUUGUGAAAGUUUGCGGCUCAACCGUAAAAUUGCAAUUGAUACUGGCAGUCGUGAGUACAGUUGAGGUAGGCGGAAUUCGUGGUGUAGCGGUGAAAUGCUUAGAUAUCACGAAGAACCCCGAUUGCGAAGGCAGCUUACUAAACUGUGACUGACAUUGAUGCUCGAAAGUGUGGGUAUCAAACAGGAUUAGAUACCCCAGUAGUC